AUAAAUUUGAUAUCUUAAACUUAUAAAUAUAAAUUUCUAAUGAUUAGUGAAGAAUUGUAAUAUAUGAUUUGGAUAUUAUUGAUUAUUGACUUCAUGAUUGAAUAUAGUGUUUUUAGGGAUGGAUUGUGAUCAUAUUUUGAUUUCAAAAACGAUAUAGAUUUCUUAUUUUUGUUGAACGGUUUAGAUUGAAGGGAAUUAAUUUUAUUGAACGGUUUAAAUUGAAUCGGAUCAUAUAAAGUUUAGGAGAUUGUUAAGACCAAAUUACCCUUAAUGAUUUUGAAUAGCAAAGAACAAAAUCCAAAAUUGAAAUCAAAAUUGAGGCCAAAUUAGACAAAAUUUCAAUUUGUACUUCCCUUUUAAUAAUAAAGGGAUUAUUAAUUUUAAG
rnacentral:sRNA from 1 species